rnacentral:rRNA from 1 species
AGAGUUUGAUCCUGGCUCAGGAUGAACGCUAGCUACAGGCUUAACACAUGCAAGUCGAGGGGAAACGACAUCGAAAGCUUGCUUUUGAUGGGCGUCGACCGGCGCACGGGUGAGUAACGCGUAUCCAACCUGCCCACCACUUGGGGAUAACCUUGCGAAAGUAAGACUAAUACCCAAUGAUAUCUCUAGAAGACAUCUGAAAGAGAUUAAAGAUUUAUCGGUGAUGGAUGGGGAUGCGUCUGAUUAGCUUGUUGGCGGGGUAACGCCACCAAGGCUACGAUCAGUAGGGUUCUGAGAGGAACGGUCCCCANAUUGGAACUGAGACACGGUCCAAACUCCGUACGGGAGGCA